AACACCUCAAAAGCUUUCUUCUUUUUGAAGAGAGUUUUUGGACUUGAGCGAACCCAACGCCUGAUCUCGUCUUGUAUUAGAUGGGUGAGGUGGCGGGUUGCUUGAAAUGCAGGUGCAGCUGGACUUUUCUUCUGAGCUAAAAGCAUAUCUAUUUAGUCCCGUCAAACGGAUUAUUACUUUUGCUGCAGCUAACAUAAAGGAAGAUUAGACCGAUUUAGCUGACUGAAGCAGGAUUUCACAAAGCCGGAAACGGUUUUGUAAA
rnacentral:misc_RNA from 1 species